UGCGGGGUAGUUGCUGCUGGUAGUGACACCGGGCUCUGAACCCGGAGGCGCUGGUUCGAUUCCAGCUCCCGCAA
rnacentral:tRNA from 1 species